rnacentral:rRNA from 1 species
UGCCAGCCGCCGCGGUAAUACGGAGGGGGCAAGCGUUGUUCGGAAUCAUUGGGCGUAAAGAGUAUGUAGGCGGCUAUUUAAGUCAGACGUGUAAGCCCACGGCUCAACCGUGGAAUUGCGUUUGAAACUAUUUAGCUUGAGUUCGGGAGAGGAAAGCGGAAUUCCCAGUGUAGCGGUGAAAUGCAUUGAUAUUGGGAAGAACACCGGUGGCGAAGGCGGCUUUCUGGUCCGAUACUGACGCUGAGAUACGAAAGCCAGGGGAGCGAACGGGAUUAGAUA